UAUUUUUAAUAACAAUCGAAUGGAGUCGCCCUAAUUUACGUCGUCUCACAUGAAUGAUGCAAAUUGCAAAAAGGUUCGAAAUACAAAACUGCCCGCGCUAUCCUCCAAAGCGCGCUACUCUUUUCGAAAAGAAGCUAAAGGACAUAGUUGGAGGGAACGAUCAGCAAAGAGUUCGGUUGAGUUCAGUUCAGAAUAGUCUAGAGAUUCAUAUAUUCUUACACGAGGAGUCACUGCUUGUUGGAAAUUAAACGGAGUUUGUUUGUUGUCUUAGUUGAGAAUCACUAACUCGAUCUCACGUAGAAUGGUUUGAACCACUUGAAAAAGAGGCAUUGCUUGCAAAGCAAAUGGUGGAAUGCAACACACUUUGAGCAAAAAGAGGGAACAGGCAAGUUGUUACUACUCUAAUUCAUUUUAGAUGGAUGAAAUCUUUUAGAUUUACUUACAUAGUUAUAUAUUACAAGAGAUGUGGUUUAAAGUUUUUUUUUUACUCGUCUGGCAUGUUGUUGGUGGAUUAUUGAGUAGAAUGGAUAAGGCCUAUGCAUAUUAAAUGGUACUUUUGGGUGUGUAGAUAAAAUCGAGCAUUUGAAAAUCUUAAACUAUGUUUAUCAAUGUAAUCAUGGUUGAUGGAACAGGCCAAAAAUGGUUGUUUAUUUAUUUGGUGAAGUGUUUUUUUAAAUUUUUUUAUGUGGAUCCAUUUUCUUAGCAAGGAAUUCCCAACUUGUGCUUCAAUAGCCUGUUAAUUAUAGAUCUGGUUAAACUGAAAGCCCUUUUUCUUUUGGCCGUUCAGUCCAGAAAAUUAUCGCUAGGCUACAGCUACUGUUGCAAAUGGGCCAGUGACCAUGGGAAAUUAAUUGACCUUAUAAUCCCCUUGACAGUGAUCUACAUGUCAAAAAAGAAAAAAAAAAAUUAACUGUGUCUUCACGUUCAUGGCUUUUCUCCCUUCCACUUGUCAUGUUGCAAAUGGAUGGACUAUGUAUCGGUUCUUAAUUUUUCCCCCUCAGCAAUACUGUACACCAAACACGUACAUUUUUAUUUUCUAAAAUCACAAAUUUUUUUACCCUUGUCAUGAAUAAAGAUUCUGCUGACAAUGAUAGAGGACGAUAUGUUGAGAGACCCUUAAUAUAUUGAUUUUGGGUUUAGAAUCCUUAUUUGAUAAACUAACAUAGAACUAUGAUUUAGAUAGAAAAAGACUUCUAUUCGAUUUUAAUCCUGACCUUGUAAACAAACUCCAAGAUUGGUGCAUGUUUCGAGCUCGGAAGUAUAGAGCACACUGCUAUGAGACUAUACUUCACUGCUAAAUUGAACUUUGAUGACAGCAUGUAAGUUCAUCAUUCUUGGUGAGUGGUACAUGUGCAAAUGUGCAAUUUACAUCAUUUUAACUUUGGGGUGCUUAGUUUAAUGUUGGAAUGCAAUGACAUAGUUCAACUAAUCAAAACAUUAUACAUCUUAUGAUCCAAUGAUUCCAAUCCCUACCUUUGAAUUGUUGAACUAAAAAAACUUUUAAAAGCUUCUAAUGAAUUAAAGCCAAAUUCAAAUGUCUCAAUGGUUGGCUGCAUUAAAAAAUAUAUUUUAAAAUUUUAAAAGCAUUUAAAUCCACUUUUAAAUCUUUUUAGGAAACCGUUAAUACUUUUUUUCCUAAAUGUAUUCGUUGGAAAAUUUUGUCAUCUAAAGAUGUUAUUCGGUAAGCUGUCCAAACAUUUUUUUGAAGGAUAGAUGUGAUAAGAGAGCUAAAAACAGAUAAGGUUCUCAGCUCAAAUAAAACACAGAAUACCCUGUUGGAUAAAACCCCAUAAAAAAAAGUUCUUUUGACCCCUACUUGGGGAAGAGACACUACAAAAAAAGACUUGCAGGGAAGCUAGGCCUCCGUCAACAUAGGGUAUGUUCAAACUUAUUGCAAAACCUAUCAUAAAAAAAAAAAUCUCAGAAUGGUGACCAAAUUGCUUUAUUAGUAGUAGCUUCAAAGUUUUAUAUGCAAUGAUUUACAUAUAAAGCUUGACGUUACUAAUAAAGCAAACCUAAACAACUGUGAAUUUACUAUUCGAAAUUUUACAUAUAAAUCAGGUGAACGAAUUCCCACAGUGAAGAAUUAAUGGAAAAGUAAGCUUAGAAAAGUUAGUCCUUGCUACUUAGUAGUUGCAUUUUGAGAUUUGAUGCUUAAAAGACAAUUAUUUUAUGCCUUUUCUUUUCUCUUGUUAAAUUCAAUCAUUGGCUUAUUUGGGCUCUAAAUCCUACCCUCAGAAUAGAAGUUUGUUUGAUAGCUUUUGUAUGUUAUAGAUCUUGUUGUCACUGUCUAGAUGUAAUCCACUGGAAGCCAAUUUCACGCGACUGGCAAUUUGGGGUCCAUUUGUGAACAACUACAACAGCCCAUUCUUCAAAUCAAUUCUUUAGGGCUGGCCAUCACCAACUCAUCAAUAAUAUAUUGGCCCUUAGAUGUGUUGAAGUGAAAAUUUCAAUAUUUUGGGCACAAGCUUUAGCCGGUAGGGACAAAAGACUCAAAACUCAAACUCCACAUCCUUUUUAAUUUUAAUUUCUUUUUUGUCUUUAGCUGGCAACUUUUCUAUAUACUAAGCAGUUGAUUUAGAAGUUAGGAGAGGGAGACAAAGUUGAUUUAGAAUUUUAGGGGUAGCUCAUCCGUCUGGCUGUCAUCCAACGAACAAGUAAAAGCAACCGAGUCUAUGAAAGGGGUGGGGGUUGGUUGCAGACACGGAUUCCUUUCUUGGCUUUCAUAUUAUUAUUUACAUUUCUUUUUCUUAUAGACUUCAUUGAAUUAUUGCUGGAUGUUGACAGAGAAACUAACACCAUUGAAAAUACUGUUCAUAUUUCUAGCUUUGUACUAUUACGUUUCCUUUUUCUUGCUCUGACACCCUUCAAUUUUACACUUUCAGUGUUAAAAGAAAGACAUGGCCGGCAGUGUUAUAUCUCCUUCUAUACUAUAUUAUAUAGCUUGUUGUUUGUUGUACUUGUGCCCAACUUUUGCUUGAACCACACGUGAGAUCUUUUUUCCCCAACCUACAGCCUGCAUUUAUUAGUAGUCCUCCUAACCCUUUUCUAGGGACCCGGCUUACAUCUGGUUGCAUAAAUUAUUUCUAAACAUCAAAUUUUUCUACCUUGUGUUUUCUAGUUUCAACUGUAUCUAUUCUCGUGUAAAUCUUACAUUAAAUUCGUUUGAAUUUUGGUGGGGAGUAUUUUACUUCCAGUCCAAAGUUUUUUUUUGGUCCA